UACGUAGGGUGCGAGCGUUGUCCGGAAUUAUUGGGCGUAAAGAGCUUGUAGGCGGUUUGUCGCGUCUGCUGUGAAAAUCCGGGGCUCACCCGGACUUGCAGUGGGUACGGGCAGACUAGAGUGUGGUAGGGGAGCUGAAUUCCUGGUGUAGCGGUGAAAUGCGCAGAUAUCAGGAGGAACACCGAUGGCGAAGGCAGGUCUCUGGGCCACUACUGACGCUGAGAAGCGAAAGCGUGGGGAGCGAAACAGG
rnacentral:rRNA from 1 species